CUUUUGAUGGCGACCGGCGCACGGGUGAGUAACACGUAUCCAACCUGCCUCAUACUCGGGGAUAGCCUUUCGAAAGAAAGAUUAAUACCCGAUGUUAUAGUCCUACCGCAUGAUGGGAUUAUUAAAGAAUUUCGGUAUGGGAUGGGGAUGCGUUCCAUUAGUUAGUUGGCGGGGUAACGGCCCACCAAAGCGACGAUCGGUAGCCGGACUGAGAGGUUGAACGGCCACAUUGGGACUGAGACACGGCCCAGACUCCUACGGAAGGCAGCAG
rnacentral:rRNA from 1 species